UACAGAGGGGGCAAGCGUUGUUCGGAAUUACUGGGCGUAAGGGGCGCGUAGGUGGCCUUCUAAGUUGAACGUGAAAUCCCUGGGCUCAACCCAGGAACUGCGUCCAAGACUGGGAGGCUUGAAUCCGGGAGAGGGAUGCGGAAUUCCAGGUGUAGCGGUGAAAUGCGUAGAUAUCUGGAGGAACACCGGUGGCGAAGGCGGCCUACUCGACGAGUCGGAUGACAGCUGGAGAC
rnacentral:rRNA from 1 species